rnacentral:rRNA from 1 species
CCUACGGGAGGCUGCAGUGGGGAAUAUUGGACAAUGGGGGGAACCCUGAUCCAGCCAUGCCGCGUGUGUGAAGAAGGCCCUCGGGUUGUAAAGCACUUUCAGUGAGGAAGAACGCCUGUUGGUUAAUACCCAUCAGGAAAGACAUCACUCACAGAAGAACCACCGGCUAACUCCGUGCCAGCAGCCGCGGUAAUACGGAGGGUGCGAGCGUUAAUCGGAAUUACUGGGCGUAAAGCGCGCGUAGGUGGCUUGAUAAGCCGGUUGUGAAAGCCCCGGGCUCAACCUGGGAACGGCAUCCGGAACUGUCAAGCUAGAGUGCAGGAGAGGAAGGUAGAAUUCCCGGUGUAGCGGUGAAAUGCGUAGAGAUCGGGAGGAAUACCAGUGGCGAAGGCGGCCUUCUGGACUGACACUGACACUGAGGUGCGAAAGCGUGGGUAGCAAACAGGAUUAGAUACCCCAGUAGUC